rnacentral:lncRNA from 1 species
UUAUAUAGAUCCAAGGGGAAUCAUGAAUGAGACUAAUAGCUUACAGUGAUAGAACUGAAGGCAUAUUGAUGGGUGAACCCUCCAAGAUCAGGUUUGGAUCAAACUAAGAAUCAGAUCAUGCACUUAUGCUGGUGUUAGCAGGGACUGAAAAGGUGGCCUUCUUUGAGCUUUUUACCAAUGAAAGGAGGAUCUAAAUGGGUUGGAUGAAGGGGCCGGGAAGCUUUGAGGUGGCUUUUAUGAUAACUUUGCAAUAGUGAAUCAUCCAUCACAGUCUGCUUUGCAGCUGGUUCCUUUUCAAGUCCUUUCCAAGAAAAAAUACAAUCUGCCAUCUGAUUGCAUCACUCAUGCUAAGAAAAUAAUUUAUAUGUUUUUUUUUGUGAAAUAACUUGUAUUAUCUUUCAUCUUCCUUAUAAAGUAUAAAAGCCUAAUUUUCUGCUAUUAUAUAUACAGGUGGAAGGAUCUGCAGUCCUCACGGCAACACAUUAGAAGCAAGUUGCUCGUGGCGGAGGAGGAUCGAAUCUGGUUGUGAAGGGAUGCACAGGGCAUGAAGUUACCAUGUAUAUAAUGUUGGAAUGUCAUGAGUUUAGCUAGGGUUUUGCUUUGUGCUUUGAUUUAGAAUAAACUUUUAGGUGCAAUUGAUCCUCCUCCAUUUGUGCAUUGUAAUCAGACUUUAUGUAUGUAAAUCUAGUUAUACUCAAAAUAAAAUGUUGGAAGUAACUUUUUCCUAGUAACUGAAAUUUAUUUUUAGCAUAUCAUCUUGAGCACUUAUUACAAAAACCAUGGCAGAGUUCAUCUAAAAAAUAAAGAAAAUCCCAUGGUAGAGUUUCUCUCCUUUUACUUCCGAUGCCUAAGGAGGGAACUGAAAAACAAAUCUCUCCUUUAAGCCAAUUAUUCUAUGGGAAUAUACUUGCACUGUCCAUUAAAAAAACAAUUGGCUCAUUUCAACAUAAUGGCGCUCACCACCGUCUUCC